rnacentral:rRNA from 1 species
AUUGAACGCUGGCGGCAUGCCUUACACAUGCAAGUCGAACGGCAGCACGGGAGCAAUCCUGGUGGCGAGUGGCGAACGGGUGAGUAAUAUAUCGGAACGUGCCCAGUCGUGGGGAUAACGUAGCGAAAGCUACGCUAAUACCGCAUACGAUCUAUGGAUGAAAGCGGGGGAUCGCAAGACCUCGCGCGAUUGGAGCGGCCGAUAUCAGAUUAGGUAGUUGGUGAGGUAAAGGCUCACCAAGCCGACGAUCUGUAGCUGGUCUGAGAGGACGACCAGCCACACUGGGACUGAGACACGGCCCAGACUCCUACGGGAGGCAGCAGUGGGGAAUAUUGGACAAUGGCGAAAGCCUGAUCCAGCAAUGCCGCGUGAGUGAUGAAGG